rnacentral:rRNA from 1 species
UGUCCGUAUGAAAUUGUUGUAUACGGUCUGGCCUGCCCACUGACAAGAGUUAAAGGGCCGCGGUAUUCUGACCGUGCGAAGGUAGCAUAAUAAUUAGUCUCCUAAUUAGAGGCUUGUAUGAAUGGUCGGACAAGAUGGGAGCUGUCUCAAUAUAAUAAAUAUAAAUUGAUAUUUAAGUAAAAAAGCUUAAAUGAGAUGAAGUGACGAUAAGACCCUAUAAAGCUUUAUAAUAUAAUCUUUUCAUGUAAAAUAUCUAAUCUAAAAUAAUAAAAGAGUUAUAUUAUUUUACUGGGGCGGUAAAAGUAUACUUAAUCAACUGCUUUUAUUCUGCAAAACAAUAAUAAUUGAAAUACUAAUUGAUCCAUUAAUAAUGAUCAUAAGAACAAGUUACUUUAGGGAUAACAGCGUAAUUUCUUUUGAGAGUCCUUAUCGAAAAAGAAGUUUGCGACCUCGAUGUUGAAUUAAGGAUACCUUAAAGUGCAGCAGUUUUAAAGGUAGAUCUGUUCGAUCUUUAAUUCCUUACGUGAUCUGA